GAUCUUCGGAUCUUUGAGAGCGGCGAUACGGGUGCGGAACACGCUGCUGCAACCUGCCUUUAUCAGGGGGAUNACCUUUCGAAAGGAAGAUUAAUACCCCAUAAUAUAAUGAGUGGCAUCACUUAUUAUUGAAAACUCCGGUGGAUAGAGAUGGGCACGCGCAAGAUUAGAUAGUUGGUAGGGUAACGGCCUACCAAGUCAGUGAUCUUUAGGGGGCCUGAGAGGGUGAUCCCCCACACUGGUACUGAGACACGGACCAGACUCAUACGGGAGGCAGCAGUGAGGAAUAUUGGACAAUGGGUGAGAGCCUGAUCCAGCCAUCCCGCGUGAAGGACGACGGCCCUAUGGGUUGUAAACUUCUUUUGUAUAGGGAUAAACCUUUCCACGUGUGGAAAGCUGAAGGUACUAUACGAAUAAGCACCGGCUAACUCCGUGCCAGCAGCCGCGGUAAUACGGAGGGUGCAAGCGUUAUCCGGAUUUAUUGGGUUUAAAGGGUCCGUAGGCGGAUCUGUAAGUCAGUGGUGAAAUCUCAUAGCUUAACUAUGAAACUGCCAUUGAUACUGCAGGUCUUGAGUAAAGUAGAAGUGGCUGGAAUAAGUAGUGUAGCGGUGAAAUGCAUAGAUAUUACUUAGAACACCAAUUGCGAAGGCAGGUCACUAUGUUUUAACUGACGCUGAUGGACGAAAGCGUGGGGAGCGAACAGGAUUAGAUACCCUGGUAGUCCACGCCGUAAACGAUGCUAACUCGUUUUUGGGUUUUCGGAUUCAGAGACUAAGCGAAAGUGAUAAGUUAGCCACCUGGGGAGUACGUUCGCAAGAAUGAAACUCAAAGGAAUUGACGGGGGCCCGCACAAGCGGUGGAUUAUGUGGUUUAAUUCGAUGAUACGCGAGGAACCUUACCAAGGCUUAAAUGGGAAUUGACAGGUUUAGAAAUAGACUUUUCUUCGGACAAUUUUCAAGGUGCUGCAUGGUUGUCGUCAGCUCGUGCCGUGAGGUGUUAGGUUAAGUCCUGCAACGAGCGCAACCCCUGUCACUAGUUGCCAUCAUUCAGUUGGGGACUCUAGUGAGACUGCCUACGCAAGUAGAGAGGAAGGUGGGGAUGACGUCAAAUCAUCACGGCNCUUACGCCUUGGGCCACACACGUAAUACAAUGGCCGGUACAGAGGGCAGCUACCUAGCGAUAGGAUGCGAAUCUCGAAAGCCGGUCUCAGUUCGGAUUGGAGUCUGCAACUCGACUCUAUGAAGCUGGAAUCGCUAGUAAUCGCGCAUCAGCCAUGGCGCGGUGAAUACGUUCCCGGGCCUUGUACACACCGCCCGUCAAGCCAUGGAAGUUUGGGGUACCUGAAGUGCGGUGACCGUAAACAGGAGGCUGCCUAGGGUAAAA
rnacentral:rRNA from 1 species